rnacentral:rRNA from 1 species
AACGAACGCUGGCGGCAUGCCUAACACAUGCAAGUCGAACGAGACCUUCGGGUCUAGUGGCGCACGGGUGCGUAACGCGUGGGAAUCUGCCCUUGGGUUCGGAAUAACAGUUGGAAACGACUGCUCAUACCGGAAGGUGACGUAAGUCCAAAGAUUUAUCGCCCAAGGAUGAGCCCGCGUAGGAUUAGCUAGUUGGUGAGGUAAAGGCUCACCAAGGCGACGAUCCUUAGCUGGUCUGAGAGGAUGAUCAGCCACACUGGGACUGAGACACGGCCCAGACUCCUACGGGAGGCAGCAGUGGGGAAUAUUGGACAGUGGGCGGAAGCCUGAUCCAGCAAUGCCGGGUGAGUGAUGAAGGCCUUAGGGUUGGAAAGCUAUUUUACCCGGGAGGAUAAUGACGGUACCGGGAGAAGAAGCUCCGGCUAACUCCGUG